rnacentral:rRNA from 1 species
GAUGAACGCUGGCGGCGUGCCUAAUACAUGCAAGUCGAGCGAACGGACGAGAAGCUUGCUCCUCUGAUGUUAGCGGCGGACGGGUGAGUAACACGUGGAUAACCUACCUAUAAGACUGGGAUAACUUCGGGAAACCGGAGCUAAUACCGGAUAAUAUUUUGAACCGCAUGGUUCAAGAGUGAAAGACGGUCUUGCUGUCACUUAUAGAUGGAUCCGCGCUGCAUUAGCUAGUUGGUAAGGUAACGGCUUACCAACGCAACGAGGGAUAGCCGACCUGAGAGGGUCGUCGGCCACCCGGUAACAGAGGCACGUCCCAGACACCGACGGGGGGAAGCGGUAGGGACUCUUCCGCAAUGGACGAAAGCCUGACGGUGCACAGCCGCGUGAGUGAUGAAGGUGCUCGGAUCGGAGAACUCUGUUAUUAGGGAAGAACAUAUGCGUAAGUAACUGUGAACAUCUUGACGGUACCUAAUGAGAAAGCCACGGCUAACUACGUG